UUACUAGAGUACAACAGAAUACUCCCUAAUUGCAUAGUACAUAGUAUUCUGUUCCUCCUCCCCACUGACUAUGGGCCCAGGCCUUGUAGAGACUUCUGUGUGUGGACAUGGGGGGUCAGUUUCUACUGAUUUCCCCCAUGUUUUACUACUCAGAGUCUCAAAACUGUAAGGCAACUGGACAUCCUGUUGUAGGAAGAAGGCUGAUUGUCUUUGCAUUGUUGAUUGUAUAGGUGUGAAGUGUUUCCCCUGUUAUUGUGUGAAUAAGCCCUAAGGUAUGAUUAGGUAUCACUGCUGCAUACCUAAUUAUCAAUUACACAACAGGUAGCUGUUAAUCCUGUGAGCUCCUGUUAUCGCCAUUGUCUGUCUCAAGCCAAUUAUAUGUCUACCAUCAUUCCAUGUCUACGUCCCCAACUAAUGUAAUUAUUUAUGUCUCAUGUCAUUCUGUCUUGCCCCCGGAUAUUGUGUUGUAGGAUUUGAUCUAAUUACUUCCUUCCUGACAUGGUAAUUAGAUCAUGUGAUAUUUGCCCUUUUCUUACUUGUGUGUAUAUAGCUCUGUAUUUGGUUUUAAUAAAGGAGUCCUGUUUUCACCUCAA